UUGUUAACAGGGUCAGCCAAGUGAUCAGCUAGGUUCUCAAUCGGUCCAUUUCCUGUCACAAUAGCUUGCACAAAAAACCCGAACAUGGAGAACAUGGCUAAUCUUCUUGAGCUCCUUCACUUUAAGCUCAGCAAAAGCCUCAGGAUCGUCUGCAAGCCCUAAGGGGUCAAAGCUCCCCCCAGGGUACAAAGGGUCUACAACUUCACCGAGAGGUCCUCCUGCAAUUCUGUAGCCUUCAACUGCACCCAUCAAGAUCACUUGUGUUGCCCAGAUUGCCAAAAUGCUCUGAGCAUGAACUAAGCAUGGGUUUCCCAAGUAGUCUAGUCCACCCUCACUGAAGAUUUGAGCUCCUGCCUUGAACCAAACAGCUUCUCCGAACUUGCUCCAUUACGAGCUAGGAAUUCAGGGAAGACACAUCCUAGAGCACCGAGCAUGGCCCAUCUUGAAUGGAUGACCUCGAGCUCACGGUUCUUGGCAAAUGUCUCGGGAUCGACUAAGAGCCCAGCUGUGUCCCAACCAUAGUCACCGGGAAACUCUCCGGUGAGAUAAGACGGGGCUUCAUUGGAGAAUGGGCCCAAGUACUUGACACGGUCAGGACUGCACCAUGGGCUGCCGGAUGACACAUUUUUGGACUUGGCUGCGGUUUUGCGCAUGGUGAUUCUGCCCUCACCGAGGAGGUUGGAUGUAGAAGAACCAAGCUGUGAGAAGGGGAGAGAGCCAUUGUUGAAGCAGCCAUAUGAGAAAAUGAAAGUGUUUACGAGUGUGUAGAGGGCCGAGUGAUUGUUAUGUUUUGCAUAGAGAAGCAUGGUGGGUAUUUGUAUAGGUUUGAUGCUAGAAAGUCGUUAUCUUUCUGCUAUCUUCAUCCCUUUUCUCACUGGUGAAAUGAAGUUCAAAGAGUUUCAAUCCUUUGAUCAAUUCCAGUUGGCAUGAUAGGCUCCAGUUAUUUAGUUCCACAAAGAUAGCAAUUGGAAAAUAGUUAUGCUUUGAUUUCUGACCAAGUAGAAUUAGCCCUACGAACAUGGCCGUCUUUUUGCAAUAAUGAUCAUAAUGACUCGAUUUCCAGUUGGUUUGAUAUGCACCACCAGCAUAACGUACGUAUAGAUACCAUAGAACAUCAAAGGAGAAAGAAUAAUGAAUUUUUCGACUAGAAAUGAGGAUGUUAAAACUAGACACAUGAUUACAAAAAUCUGAAAUAACAUUAAGAAUCUCUAUAAUUAAGGAUACAUUCAACUAAACAUAAAUUAGAAACAAAAUAUUACUCUAACGACGACUCAUUUGGCAUAUGUAAACCUUCAGACCAAUGUUCUAAAAAAUGCUAGGCGCUAGUCGGGCGGUAGAGGUGAAAUUUUGAAACCAAAAACCGAAAAAAAACCGAGCCGAAAACCAAACCGAAACUGGAAAAAACCAAACCUAAUUAAGAAAAACCGAACCGAACCAAAUUAGUUUGGUUUGGUUUUUGGUUUCGGCCCUUGAAAAACCGAACCGAACUGAAAAACUGAAUAUCCCUAAAACGACGUCGUUUUUUGUCUUUAUUUUCAUAUUAAAUAUUUGAUUUGAACAAUAUGAUUUUUAGGUUUUAUGUUCUAUAUAAUUAUCUGUUUGUCUUUUCUAAUAUUUUGCUUUUUAUUUUCAUUUUAUGUACAUAUAGAAAUGUUUUAGGUGUCGUGUAUGCAAAGUAUAGAGAGUGAUAUGUUACCUCUAAAAUCGAAGACCUUAUUAUUGCGAGCUUUAGAUGACAAAUUCUAAUAUUUAAUUUAUUUUUCUCUUCUUUAUUCAAAUUUAUGAUUUUUAAAAUUUAAAAUUCGGAAUUUAUUUGGAUGAACUUUAAACUAUGGAGUCUAUAUGUUGUGUUCAAGAUGAACUUACAAGUUUUAAAAUUAUGGUUUCAUGGUGUGCUAGUGUGGUCAAUUCUCAAUACUUUCGAAAUUAUUGAGUAUUAAACUUUCAAAGUAUCUAUUUGGUUUAUAAAUUGUUGGUUUGUUGAAGAAAUCAUUGUCAAAAAUUUUAUUGAUAUAUUAUAUAUGCUUAUAAAAAAAAACUAGUAAUGGAAGAAAAAAAAGACCUAAAAUACGAUAAUUUUUUACCAAGGCAAAAGCAUACAAAUUUUAAGAAAAAUUAUUUUAAAAAAGAAGAAAAACAAAAAAAAAACUGAACCAAACCACGGUUUGGUUUGGUUUCCGGUUCAAGGUCUCAAAAAAUACCAAACCAAACUGAAUUUUUUAUUCGGUUUGGUUUCAGGUUUUAUGUGAAAACCAAACUCACCCCUAUCGGGCGGACAGCCGGUGACUAGCGCUUAAACGGGUCAAUCGGGAGAUUAAUCAGUUUUCUAACUCUCUAGACGGAAACAGUGAAGCACCGCCUAACACGUAGGCGUGGAUUAAUCGGCUAUAAGCGGAGAUUUUUAAACCAUUGCUUGAGACAACAACUAGUCCUUAAAACUUGUAUGACGAAAUUGACUGUGGCUCAAAUUAUAAGGAGCUACAUUUAGAAUAUCUGCUGCUAUGGGGCAAGUAAGCAAAACAUGGGAAGUAUCUUCAUAAGGACAUGGGCAUGAUAUGCAUCAAGUAUCACCUGUAUAACCCUUUGUAGUAAGUGCACGUACCUCUCAUUGGCAGUCGGUUAAAGCAAGCUUUCCAGAAGCAAAUACGCACCUCCUCGGUACUUUUGUUUUCCACAAUCGUUUCUGCUAUAAGCCGUUUUUAUGGUCAUGUCUUUUUUUUUUUUUUUUUUUUUCUGUUUUAGGUAGAACAAAAUUUUCUUGCCUUGCUUUUUUUUUUCAAUAUGAUAUUUGUUUGCUCAAUACCAUUUUGGUCUAGUGACAUAAGUCUCUCCUUGUAAAUGAGAAGUCGUGAGUUCGACUCAUAGUAUUGUAGCAUAUUAUUGUGCGUUUGAUCCAAAAAUAAAAUAUGAUCUUUAUUUGGGAUCAUAGCGUUUUUUUGCUUUUUGCUUCAAUAUGCAUGUGGACAUUUUAUGUACUUAUAGGCUCAAUUAUGGUGUGAGCUGAAAUAUGUAGUAGGAGUGUUACCUGUACGUGGAUUAUUUGAUCUUAUUUACCCUCUUUACACAAGACAAUGCAUUGAUUCAUGAUGUAUCAUUUAUUUGAAUGGAUUGGAAUAUCUUCUUUAAUUCAAAAAUUAAUUAAAGAUCUCUUUCCUUAAGAUUGUGAGCAAACUUUUGCAUUUAUACAUAAUUAAUGGCCACUAUGAGCAAGUAAUAUUUAUUUUCAUUACCUAUUAAAGUUCAUUCAUCGCUAUAUAAGCAUGGAUGUAGCAAGAAAACUCCUAUAGUUUAUUCUAAGCCUGAGCCAGAGAUAAAAUGAUGAGAAAAGCAUUGUGGCAGCUCUACUGUUUUCUGCUUUUCCUUGUCCUAGCGCAUUGCAUUCUCCAUUGUGGCAGCCACCCUGUUUGGGGAAGAAAGUAUUUCGUCCGUAUUGUUAACAAUCUCGAAAACAACGAAGUGCUUAACUUUCAAUGUAAAUCCCUAGAUGAUGUAAUUGGUCCGCGUACUCUUCCUCCAUUUGGUGAAUUUGAAUUUAAAUUUCACUUCGGCCCUGAUACAGUGUUUGAAUGCUCUACGUGGUACUCAAAUCGCAUGGCUAAUUUUACAGCAUGGGAACCAAUUGUUCAACCUUUAUGAGGCGGGGCGCAUUUAAUUUAACUAUAUACUAAAGUAUGGUUUACUGUUCAUAAUCACUGUUCACAUCACAUGAAUAGUGCACUGUUUGGUGGGUGUGAUUCUGUUUAUGCCCUCUGUUUCUAAAAAACCACGAAAUUACCAUUAACCCUAGAUAUAUGAUUGUCUUCUAUAUAAUUAGUUGUUGUUGAGGAUGUUGUGGGUUGGGAAGUAAUUUUUGAACUCUUAUCUUCAUUACCGUGUCUCAAUUUUUUUUUUUUUCAUAGAUCUCACAAAGGGUAUUGUUAUCGAAGUCAAUCUAAAAUAGGGUAGUGGUAUCAUAGACCAAGGUUGAGCAAGUUUAUUUUCUUAAUUAUUGAGGUGAAACAAUUUUGGUUCUAUUUUAGCAACGGAAUAUUAAUUGAAGUACAAAUAUCUUUGAUUUGGCCAAAGAAAUUAUCUGGUUGCAAACCAACUCCUAAUUAACAAAACGUACUAAGUUAAUUUAAAUAUCGUGUGAUGAAGUACUAUGUUAUAUAUACUAAUGCAAUAUAUUUGGUUUUUGUUUUGUUUACUUUUAAUUUACUUGGUUUCUCAUCUUUGGUUUUAGUUUUGUUUACUUUCAAUUGAGUUGGUUCCUCAUUUUUUGUUUGGUUUUUAUGUCAAGUUCUCAUCUUUGACAUUUUGAGAUCAGUCUCUUUAGGAGCUUGAGAUAAAUAUUCUUUUCAGUUAAUUAAUCACUUGCUUUGUGUGUGUGUGUGUGUGUGUGUUUUGUUUUUUUUUUUUCUUUACUNUAGUAUNAUAUANCUUUAUUAGUUAGUUUUUAGUUUUUUUUUUUUUUUUUUUUCCUAUCUUUAGUUUCCUAUAAAUCAAGUUUUCUAAAAAUUGCGUUUUUGGUGAAAAACAGUUAAACAAAUAUGAGCAUUUUGUAUAGUCAAAACUAGAGCUAUAUUUUCGAUCAUACUGCUUCAGAUAAGUUGUUCUAUUUUGUGCACUUACAAGACAUUUACUAUUUUGGAUAGGUUACAACACUAGAUGUUUUGUAUUGAAGUUCUAUGAAGUACAUAUCAAAAACUUUUUCAUCAAUCAACUGAAUCAUUAACCAGUUUUAUAAAUAUACACCGCGCCAAGGCGCGGGUAUCAACUCUAGUUGUAUAUACAGUGUGUGAUCUGCUACUGUGUUCAGGUACAACAUAGCAACUCGACGAUAUGUAGGAGUCAUUAAUUUUUGGACUGUAGUACCAUGAAAAUGUUUGGGACAAAUGUAGUUUCAAACAAGAAAUAUUUAUAAGCUACAAGUAUGUUUUUUUAUUUUUUAUUUUUUUUAUAUAUGAAUAAAGGGCUGGUGCGGCUGUUUUCAAGCCUUCAUUAAUGAAACUGUCGAAUACAAGAGGGGCAUAUAUAAAGCCUAAACCCCUGAUUACAAAGACCCAAAAUAAUAUCGAGAAUCUCUAUAAAAUACAUGUAUUCUGAUAAACACCAACUAGCAAAUAGUACUACCCUAAAGACGAAUAUAUUUGCUUUGUCAUAUCGGUGACAUAAUGGAAAGAUCACUAGAUAUGUAACACGAUUACUUAUCCUAAUGUCUGAUAAAGAAUAGUACACAAGAAGUUAAUUAGCAAAGAAUAUUAGAAUACUUAUAUAUACACCAAGUUCUAAUACCAAACGUGAUCGAUCCAAUUUUUUUAUUUUUUUGAUGAAAGGGAUUGUAGUAAUCAAACUGGGCACAAAUUAUCUACCCAAACUACAGGAUUUGGAGCUGCAUAUGUUGUACUAGCCAAUCUGUGCGCCACUGUAUUGCAAGUUCUACUACCCAUGAGAGAGAGUCAUGGAUGUCACAAAGUAACCCUUCCAGCCCUACAUAGGUACCUUGCGUAUAGGAGAUAACCAAAAUUGCCUCUAGACAAUCUGUUUCUAUGAUAGCACAUACACAAUGUUUUCAAAAGUUUUAGUCCUUCUUUGAUAGCAUAUACCUCCGCCUUCUUUGCAGAGACUACUGGGGCAAUAGGAAUGACCAAAGCUGCCUUGAAUUUUCCUUGAUUAUCCCUGAGUAUCCCUCAAGUGCCUCCACGAAGAAAUGUUGGAAGAAAGCUACCAUCCACCAUGAGUUUGGUUUCCAUUUCUUGUGUUGUAGUUGGGGAGUCUGCCUUACUGGAGGUUGUAUUUGAACUUGUUGGUUUUCAUUGAACUAGGCCAUUGCCCAUGCUUGUACUUCUUGUGCUGUUUGAUGCUUUUCAUUCCAUAGUAUAUUGUUUCUGUUAGGCCAAAGAGACCACAAGCUGAUGAGAAGUUUGGCAAAGAGCUCCUUUGGCAUAUGUAAACCUUGAGACAACAACCAGUCCUUAAAACUUGUACGAGGAAAUUGAAUGUGGCUCAAAUUAUAAGGAGCUGCAUUUAGAAUAUCUGCUGCUAUGGGGUAAGUAAGCAAAACAUGGGAAGUAUCUUCAUAAGGACAUGGGCAUGAUAUGCAUCAAGUAUCACCUGUAUAACCUUUUUUAGUAAGUGCACGUACUUCUCAUUGGCAGUCGGUUAGAGCAAGCUUUCCAGAUGCAAAUACGCACCUCCCCGAGUCCCCGUAAUUUUUGCUUUCCACAAUUGUUUCUACUAUGGGUCCGUUUUUUUUUUUUUUUUUUUUUCUUAGUUUCAGGUAGAACAAAAUUUUCUUGCCUCUUCACAAAAACAUUUCUUGCCUUGUUCGUUUUUUUUUUUUUUUUUUUCAAUAUGAUCUUUGUUUGUGAUCAUAGCGUUUUUUUGCUUUUUGCUUUAAUAUGCCUCUGGAUAUUUUAUGUACUUAUAGGCUCAAUUGCGAUGUGAGCUGAAAUGUGUAGUGGGAGUGUUACCUGUACGUGAAUCAUACACAAGACAGUGCAUCGAUUCAUGAUGUAUCCUUUCUAUUAAGAAAAACAUAAGGGUCUUAUGACUUCUACUUAGUUGCUGAUUCAUAGAAUUAUUACCACUCUUAGGCUCAGUUUAGGAUUGCAUUUUUGGGUUAAAUCCUGCUUUUUCUCACCCAUUUAUGACUGAUAGCCUGUUUGGUAAGCAUUUCAUAUCUGCGUUCUUUUAACGAUUGCGGCCGGAAACCGCAAAAAUGAAAAGCAGCGGAGGACCUGCUUUUUCUUAUCCAGCGUUUUGUGAACGUGAAUCAAAUAGCCUGUACAUUCAUGAAAUUCCAGAAACAUCCCCACUGAAAUUCAAAAGUCAAACCCCUCGGAAUUAAUUCUCGUUCUCUUCUUCUGGGUUUCUUUCGUUUUUUGCCUUCUUUUGCAGCUCCUCAUCCCCUUGCCUUCGUACCUCUCUCUUCACAGCUAUUCACUUCUUCUUUGAUGGAUUACUGUAUCAUAUUAUUUUAUAUAUAGAUCUGUAAUUGAUCGUAAGGUGAUCGAGGUUUCCAUCGAAUCGCAUACACUUCGUAAUUUGAUGAGAAGAACAAAAGAUCCAUAUGAGUCAAAAGAUCUGUAUCUAUUUUUGAAAUUCUUUGUUUUUGAUAUCAUGUUUACCAAACAUUGUAGCAGUACUUAUUUUUACCUCAACACUUUCAAAUAUAUGAUUUACCAAACAUUAUACCGAGAUUUUUUACAACAGAUUAUUUUUACAACAGAGUUAUUUUAAAGUAGAGUUUAUAUACCUCAAUAUCAAACUAGGCUUUAUUGGUGGACAUAUAACCAAAAUGACGGUUUCUGAUGUCCUAGAAAUGAAAAACAAAAAUUUGAAAGAGUGGCAUUAUUUUUUGAGCAAUUUAAUGACAUCACACAUUAUAACCUAUACUAAAGACCUAUCUCUAAUGUACCGUUCAUUUUAUUUGUCCUUAUUCUCUCGAUAAAUUUUUCAGUAUUUCCGAAAGACCAUGUGGCAUUGCCUGGUUAUCCAAGCCUAUGAGACGUUGACACGUGACACUUUUUAGACAACUCGCAUCAAGGUUAAUUCAUUUAGUUUUCAACUGCAGUAAAACAAACCCCUCAACUAUCGCCGUUAAGUGAUAGUGUGAUAAAAAAAUGUAAAUCUCUGAAUUUUGUUCGUCCUCUCGCCGUCUGCCUUUCUCUUUGUGUUCUUUUCAGCAGAAGCACAAGGAAGCUUGUGGGUUCAGUUAAGCCUUGUCGUCGCCCAUAAGAUCCACUUUGUCCAACAAUUGGGAUUUUCAGUUCCCCGUAGCUAUUACCCGAUCUCCUCCACGCGUCCCCAGGUUUCUUCUCUUCUCUUCUCAUUUCCCAAUUGUUUUUCUUGCUCUUUGGGUCUUGCUAGUUUUUGUUAAUUUUGGUUAGAGAGUUGAAUGAUUGUGAUCAGACUCACUUUUCGGAGAAGAAAAGAAAAUUGAAAAUGGGAGAACUGAGUUCAAAGAAAGAGAAUUUGGGAAACGAAAUCCGCACAAACCGACGGAGGUGAGUAUUCGACGAUUUUGGUUAGUUAUAUGGAAUUGAUGAAACUUCGACGGCUCUCCCUUCUUGAAUAUGUUGUUUAUGGGAUUUGAUUUCUACACCAAAGUGAGGAAAAUUCUAUUAAGCUAUCAUAUAUUCAUAUUGGCUAUGAUUGAAUGGUACAUGACCAUAAUAGCUUGAAUUCCAGUAAAAGCUUUGUGGAUUUGGGAUUUGAAGUUUGAGGUUUUAUUUUUAUUUUUUGGAUUUGAAUUUUGCAGUUUUUGAAAUUUUACAUGUUAGUUGAUGUUGUUAUCCUUUUCAUGUUAAAGUCCAAUGUAUGAUUUAGCAGGUUAGAUGAGAUAUUGGAUUUGCUGAACCUUCAGGUAGUUAGAAAAUAUGCCAAUGUCUCCAAUGGAGGGGUGCCAUUUAAUUAGAAAGUAAACAUCCCACAUUGUUAUCAGCCCUAGACCACCAUUUUACACAUUUCAGACCAACAAUUUGAUUGCUUGUUUUCUCUGCUAUGUACUCAAAUCUAUUACAGCUACUGGGAUAGCUGCAUCACCAAAACUAGUUCUUUGUGUAUCACAGCUUAUGACUCUAAUUGUUUUACCAUCAAGGUCACACAGAAUACUUGAUUUUGGAUUAGUCAUUUACUUAUCCAUUUUGUCAAAUAUGGGUUCUGCUGAGAAAUGCCAGGAUGGCAAGUAAUUAAGCAACAAUUUUUGGAUGAUCCUUCUGAAACAACUAUAUACAUAGCUGGUUUGCAGGCUGCAUGGAAGCUUGGUGCUGCAUUCAAAUUGGUUAUCAUUUGAUUAUGACACUGCGUCUAGUAUCUGCUAAGUUUAUUGGUCUUUAGGUUCAAAAGUUUCGUUUUAUCGAAACUCUUAUGAGUUUUAUUUGGUUUGCAUAUAGUUCUCUUUUGAAGCUUGUAUUAUAUCUAAAUAUUUCUCAUGUUCUCUUUUUAGAUCUACCCCAAAUCCUGUUUUUUCUUUUUUUGAAUUCUGGGUGCACAGGCAGUGAGAUUGUAGUUGUCAGUGACAAACUAAGGAUAAAUUGGAAGAGCUUUAAGGUAUCUCAAUCAGUGAUUUCCUGAAUUACUUCAUUUGGAAGAGCCUUAAGAUAACUUGGUUAUUCUGAUUCCUAUAUGAUGUCUGAUAAUGUGUGGACAUGGGUGCAGGUUGAACCGUAACAGAUGAGGAUUGGCAUAGUUGAGUUUGAGGAUGAUGUGGUACUUGACAGUGAGGGUGACGAAGUUAAUGGAAGGUGACUCAUACAAGUAUGUCUCUGGACAAAAAGUGCACUGCAGGUUUGUAUAUUUGCUUCUUCUUUUUUUUGUUGUAUUUUGGUUAAUUUUUUGAUAGCAGUUGGCGUUGAACGUGUUGAUGAUAUGAAGUUUUUUUUCUUAAUGAAUGCUUGAGGAAGUAAUCUCUGCAAGACUUUGCAUUUACUAAUUUGAAUGACAAGUUUCUUGAAAUAAUUUUCAUACUACGGAGGAGUAAAGGCCGAAAUAUUUGUGCUGCUUGCAGAAUUUAGCUACAUCGACUCCCAUGAUCUUGGUUGGUCGCAUUACUGUAAGAGAAAGACAUUAGAUAAAUGGCUUUCAAACAUAUAUAUGAAGAUAGCUAGCAUCUAGGAUAAUAACAGGGUUUCAAAACUUUUCAAAUAUCGAUAAAAAACUGUGUGCUUGGUCAUAGUUAAGAUCAACUCAGUUAAAAUUGCAUAUGUGAAUGUGUAAAAUUCAAUCUUUGUGCAUAUACCAUAGGGACCAUUAGCACUCAAUAUUCAAUGAUAUAACUCAAAACAUGCAUCUCUCACAAGAAGUAAUGUUUUCAGCCAUUAACGUAAAACCUGAAGAGGAUAGAACUAUUAUGUUUCGAGUCACUUUCGUUUAACCAAAAACUAAUUAGGUCUCAUAGCUAGAAUACCAGCAUGAUGAAGAUGCCAAGGUGCAUUUGAGCAGCAGAGCAGUGAACUCCAGAUGCAAUGAACACCCAAAGUGAUAAUUGUAGAAAUAUAAUCCAUGUUACUUGAAGCAUUUUUCUCCUUAUGUGCAUAAACUAAAUGUCUAUUUAAAAGAGCUCUUACUUUGCUUUAUUGAAGGAUAUAGAUUGUGUCUCAUGUAUAUCGAUCUUUUUUUUUCUUCAUCACAUUGCUUAAUGAGCAUGCACCUUUGUUGUAUAGUCCAAUGGACUAAUUACAUUUUAUUUUUAGUUACAUUCAUGAAAUAUGUAGGAACCUCUAUGCAAUACUCUGAACAAGAAACAUGACAAGAAGUAUGUUCCAAUUUUAUAUGCUAAUUUUAUUGUUCCUUAUGUGGGAUAGAUGGGGUUGGAAGAAUUGUUGGACUGCUAAUCGAUCAGAGGAAGGCCCCAUCAAAGUGGAUGUCUAACCUGUUACUAGAGCUCUUUAAUUUGAUGAUGUAAACUCAGGUUGUCUGAGAGGGAUUUCCCCUUAGUGUUUGUUUGUUUCGUAUCAAAAAAAAGAGUGAAUGUCUAACGCGGACCAAACAAAAGUGGAGGUGUCAUCAUGCAUCUGGGAAUCAUACACCUGCUAAAUUUAUGCUUCGAAUUUCCAGUAUUUUUCCGUGUCUCAACAAUUGUAAAGUUCAUUCGUAUCAAAAAAACAAUUUGUAAAGUUCAUUCUUCAUAGAGUUGUGAGCAGCAUAUUGUAUCAUGAGGAAUUGAUGGGCUCGGAUGCAUAAUGAUUUACGUUUGCAGGAGCCAGGAGAGUUUGGUAUGCCGUUGGAACUUGGAAACCAUGUAGGUAACCAGUUUUGUUGGACAAAGAGGAUGACAAACUCUUAUUUGAAAUGGAAAGCUUUGGUAAACUAUUCAAACCAUGAGAUAUCAAUGUAGCACAAGACUCAUUUAUAUAUCCGACUUUGCCGUGUGUAGUUUGUAUAUAGAUUAUAUCCUUGCUAUGAGGAAAAAAAAAUAUAUAUCCGGCGUAAUUGGGAUAGAAAACGAUCCCCGCGCGGGAAUACCAGCUAGUACAUGGACUAAUCCUUAUAUGAACAAUUUCUAUUCGGAAAUCUAUUACAUGUAAAGCUUCAGACAUGGCAUAAUUCUAGUAACCGAAGAAGUGGCGUCUUAUAUUUAUCUGAAGCUCGUCAGGCAAAUUUUCCAAAAUACGUUCUUCAUUUACAUCCGUGGCAGAAUAUUGUUCGGCAUUUCUCACUUGCCUUCUAAACUCUUCAGGCAAGUUUCUGUACCUCAUCCACGCCUCAACAUCACGCCUCCUCAUCAACAUAUCAGACCUCCUAAAAAACCAAAAGAAUGAGAAAGGCUGAGAUGUAUAUAGAUUCUUACUAUCAGUAACCUCUUUCUCUAACAAAAAAAACUCUAGAAGAAAGAAAGUGGUAAUAAAGUCACGAUCAAACAAUAAAAAUGUGGUCAGCAUAUAGAUUCUUACUUUCAGUAACCCCUUUCUCUCAAUUAAAAAAAAAACUCUAGAAGAAAGAGAAUGGUAAUAAAGUCAAGAUCAAACAAUAAGAGUUAAGAAACAGAUUGGACAAAAAAAAAUAAAAAUAAAAAUUAAGUACCUUUGUCCAAGAGACUGGAGAAAAUUUUGCAUGUUUCCGAUCAGAAGAGCAAGGAGGAAGAGUCCCAGUCCAAUAAUUACCAUCGUAAAGAUAAUUUCACCAUUGUUAUAGCUUGGAGUUAGAUUUCCUCCCAAAGUGCUGAUUUGCUUAAUAAAUCACAGGAGAUAAUAUGUCAGCAUAAAGGUGUAACUUAUUUAUGAAAUCAUAAUAAAAUAAAGGGAAGUUAUCAGCAAUUAGAAUGUAAGGUACCUGAAACCCCCAAAACAAUGAGUAUAGAUAUUUAGUAAUGAUAUGUCCCGUAGUGAUAUUGAUAAUUGGCGCAUAGAUUCCAUAUGAGAAGUCUCCAUUGGGACUAAAACAAAGAGCAGCCUUCUCAUUUAGUCUCCGUUUAGUAAUUAACUCAUCCAGGGAAAGAUAACGAGCAUGCCAACAAUCUAUUAAGUUCGGGCAUGACUGCAUAUUAGAAUUGUGGCAGGCGUCUUGAAGACAUUGGUUAACCCUCUGGAACAAGAAAAAAAAUACAAAUGUUCUCAGUGGCAUAGCCAGAAACUAUCACUAGAAGGGUCAAAAUUUAAACAAUAAUACUAUUGCCUGUUAAAAAAAAUUAAAAAAUUAAAAAACUAUUGAAUGACAUAAAAAUGUAUGAAUUAUUACAUCAAUAAUUAAAAAGGACAAAAAGUAGGUUUUCCUAAAGCAAUUAUAAUUGUUCACGACAAUUACUCAUAUUUUGAAAUAUUUUCAUGAUGGUUUCACCGUCAAAUAUAUCUUUCUCAAUAUAUGUAAUCAUGAACAUGUCUCCCAUUCGGUUUCGCAAAUCACUUAUAUAACCGUCAUGGCAAAAAAUGCUCUUUCUACAGUGACAAUUGCAACUGGAAGAAUCAGUGUCAAUGUUAUGAGCAAGUAAACUAACGGAUCAACCUGGUUUUUCUGUUUCAACAAUUUUUUCUCGAAGCUCACUAAUUUCUUUCAUUUUUUUCCAAAGUACAUUCAUUGGAUCUAUCUCUAUUCUGAAGUACAGCGACAAUUGCAACUGGAAGAAUCAGUGUCAAUGUUAUGAGCAAGUAAACUAACGGAUAAACUUGGUUUUUCUGUUUCAACCAUUUUUUCUCGAAGCUCACUAAUUUCGGUCAUUUUUUUCCGAAGUACCUUCAUUGGAUCUAUUUCUUAUUUGAAUAGCUUGAGAUGCUGUCAACUGAUCCGUUGCUUUCUUUACAAUAUUUUUGAGAAAAUUUUCAUAAUUUCAAAUNNNNNNNNNNNNNNNNNNNNUUCAUAAUUUCAAAUAUUAAUUCUAAAGGUUUUGACUUGUUGUUUGUAGGGAGAAAUGUUUAAAGAACAAAAAAAGGAAUUACAGUUGAGAAGAAUUUAAAGAGCAUGAUAAGAGACAAAUAAAUUGUAGAAGCUUGAAUUUAUAUAGACGCAAGGUAAAUCAUGAAUCGAUUAGGAAGACAAAAAUGAAUAAUAAAUCUGUCCAAAUAUGAGAUGAAAGCAAACUUCUUUCCGAAAACUAUUUUCUUACUCCUAUAUUGAUUAGUAAAAAACAUGGGGUUAGAACUUAAAAGCUUUUCUGUCGACAAGGGUGGAGUAGUCUUGUCCAAACCAAGACAAGAUUUGGAAGGAGAUUACAAAUAUUUAAGACAAGUCUUGUCCAUAAGGGUCAAAUCUUGUUUCAAAGUGUAAUAUAUAUAUAUGUUGCCCCAACCAAUAGAAAGUUAGCUUAAAAUGUUAGAGGGUUCAAUUGAACCCUCUCGCCCCAUUGUGCCUACGCCCCUGAAUGUUCUAUUAAUUUGUUUUGACUUUAUCAUAAUUAAUUGCAUCAUAAAUUUCUUGUGAUUAUUGACUUUGGUAUAUAUUUAUAUAUUAUACUCAUUAGGUUUUUUUUUUUUUGAUCAAAUGCUCAUUAGGUAUUUAGUAAAAAUUCUGAUAUUUCUUUAAAAUAAAAAUAAAAAUUCCAAUAAAUAUGAAACAAAUAAAAAGAUAUACAAUUUAAAGACGACGUAAACCUUGUUAGUUGACUCAUAUUUAAAUUAUGGCAAUUUGUGUAAUUCUUUUGAAAAAAAAAAAAAAGAAAUCUAAUAUUUGAUCCUAGUUGGCAAUAAUUGGGUGUAAUUUAAAACAAUUUUAUGAGUGAGUUUAAUAUAAAAUGUGAUUUGAAUAUUAAGUGUAAAAUGAAAUGCCUCAUCAAACAAAUACGGGGAAAUAUGCAUCAUUAGGUUAGAUAAAAUGAAAUCUCCACACACCUGUAAGCCAAAGAGGUACCACCAUGACCCAAUGACAUGGGCAACCAGCAAAAAACUGAGUGUGUUUACAAUGAAAUUCGUCCAAAUUGACCCGAAUACAAAGAAUCCAUUCAAUGAUCGACCAGCAAGAAGGGACAAAACCCUAUACACCCUAGGAAAGUAUUGAAGAAAUAUUGCCAGGUGUAGAAGAUUCUUGGUCUCAUUUGUUCGUAGAGAAAAUCUUCCGUGCAACAGCCGCACCAGCUGACAUGUGCGACCAGCCGACCAACAAGUGCCUUGAUUUUUUCCACGCCAGCAAACUACGAAAAAGGCUCCAAGUUUAAAGUUGAAAUUUCAUUAUCCCGCCGGAAGCCAGAGUUAUAUUUAAAUUAGGAUUUCUAGGUGGUUAUUCUAAUCCAGGGAAGAACAAACGCCUCACUUUUCAGAUUACGGUCUCCUCAUUCCUCCCACUCACUUUUCUCCCACCGAUACUGAUAAUUCAUCAUCUCAUUUCCUACCGUUUCCAAAUUCAUGAACACAGAUCUUUCUAGACCCGAUUCAUGAACAUAGAUCAUGCUCGACCCGAUUCACGAACAGAGAUCUUUCUCAACCCGUUUAGUUCAUUCUCAUCGGUCAGGUAUUAUCUUUCUAUGCUGAAAUUAUGUGGCACCUCUUAUCUUCAAUCUUUUAUUCUUUGUGAGUGUAUCGUGUGGAUGGGAUGGACUGGAGAGAUAGAUAAUAGUUGAAAAGAAGACCAUGGGGAUGAGUUGGUUUUAGUCUCCAAAUUGAGGUUUAGGAGGUGGGUCAUUUUCUUGGAAUUCCAAUUUUUUGAGGUUUGGGAGGUGGUUUUUUUUGGGUUUCAAUCUGGACAUCUUACAUGCUUUGCCAUGGAAAUAGUACAUGCUUUGUUGUAUAUAGGAAUGAAUGAUGUGAACCCACCUGGAUUACUAGUCUGAUAGUCUCCGUUUGCAUAGACUUUUCUUAAUUCAAUUUUAGAUGCACACAGUUCUUUUUCCUGGAGCUUGCUUUCAGGUACUUGGAUAUUUCACACUUUCUCUAUGUUGGUCUUUUCCCUUUCAUGUAUUUUUCAGUUUGUUAGUUAUAGGAAGUGAUCAAGCACAUUCUUUGUCAUGGCUAUUUGGGAGGUUAACAGUGUCUCACUGUCUCUAUUCUCUAAAUUAGUUAAAGAUGCUUUUUGUUCAGAGCUUUUUAUUGUGUCUUUAAUUAGACAAAGAUAGUUUCUUUAUAGCAGUAGUGAACAAGGGUUUAAAGUAGAUGAUUUUCUUUUGAGUUUAUUGUUUUGUGCGUGUGUUGCAGUGUUAGAUAUUAGUAGAUAAGCUAAAGGUGAUGACGGAUCAGCCAAAAGCCAAGAGGUACAAAAAUCUCUGCUCACGGUUUACAACUAAUAAUACUCCAUCAAGUGAUAGUGACGAUGAGAUUGAGAUAGGGAGUGGGAGUAGAAAUGUGACUGUGGAUUGGCAUUGUUGACAGUUUUGGUACUCUAUGUGCGUGCAUACAAGGAAUGAAAGCAUUUCGAAGAGAUUGCCGAAGCUACAGAAUUCAAGAGAAUCACUUUAUAUUGUAUCAAUCUAUUAGCUCCGAUCGAUUAGUACUUUAUUAUGAUACAUUGUGGUGUAAUUUUGACACAAGUAAUUUUUCAUUGUGUUAAAUUUAGUUGUUACAAUUAUAAUCAAUCAAAACCUUCAUUUGACAUCUCUUUUUCAUUGUCUUCCAUUUUGUUUCAGUAGAAUGUACCUUGAGUAACAUUAUCAUAUCUUGAUCAGAGGCUUGGUUUCAUCUCUGGAUUUUGUUGCAUUAUUACCUUUUGGUUUGUGUCAAAGAUUAAAGAUAUGGUUAAAAAUUGAGAAAGAAAAAAGCUGAUGGAAAGAUACUUGAAUUUGUGAUGCUUAAACUACUAAGAUAUACUCAAUGAUCGAAUGUAAUCAUCAUAAAAAAAUAUUGUAGCACAGGUUACAUACAAAAGUUCGAUCAAAACAAGCUCUAAACAUGUCUUCGAUUCAGUUCUUAUAAAAUGCUCAUGUUAGUACUACAUCAUGAAACUUGCACACAUGACUUCAGUUCUCAUAAAAUGGUCCUCUUAAUACUGCAUCAAUGAAACCUGCACAAUUUAACUUCUGUAACUAUACUGUAAUUCAGGUUCAAUAUCAUCAACUCAAGCAUAUAAUAUUAAAAUACAGAACUAACCUCACUGAGGUUGUUGUCUAAGUGUAGGAUCAAUAGUCAAAGUCGCAGUUGGUGCAAGAUUCAACCCUGUAGUAUUCUACAAAUAUAGAACUAGUUUAUUUUCAAUAUAGCCAACUAAAAUGUAUGAAUGUACUAAGAUUUCAAAUAUACAUAUACCUGGUUUGAGAAAGGCAUCUGACCAUAACUAACAUGUGAAUGAGGAUGCUCAAAAGGCCAACUUAAAUUUCCCUGAAAGAGAAUGACAUGUAUGAAUAUGUUCAGUCUGUAAUACAUAAAGAAACAUACAUAUAAAGCUUCAAAAUGCAGACCUGAUUACUGAAUGUUGGGGUGUUGGGUACUCCAAACUGAUUACUCACUGUUGGGAUGUUAGGUACUCCAUACUGAUUACAGAAUGUUGGGAUGUUAGGUACUACAAACCGAUGAUUAUUGAAUGUAGACACAUCAGUUGGAGCUUUUGGAUCAUUAUUUUCUUGGUUUUCUUGUUCUGCAUCAGUAAAAAUUUCAGCUAUACAAAGUACACAAAACAAGAACUAUCAAUAUAAGCUUAUUUAAGAACUAUAUAAAAUAUGUAUGUACCUUUUGUUCUCUUCUUCCUUUGAUUUGUCUCCAUCACAUCUUUGAUUCUACUAUUUUUCAUUCCCUUAGUCUUUGCAUUUGGUGGGUUCAAAACUAGUGUCUCAUUACUAGAAAUGGUAGAGCCAGACUCAGCACCAAAAUUCUUCAGAUUUUCCAACACGUAAAGGGUGUCCUUGUCUUUUUCAAGACGCUUCAUUGCCUCUGUUAACAAAUGCUUGACAAUUUUAGUACCUAAACUAGUUAAUGAGGCUAUGUCAUACACAUUAUUUCCUUCAUGCAUCAAUUCGCUGAGGCGCAACACUCUAGCAGUCUUUAAAUUCUCACUUGUUCCUACACUUGUGUCACUGCUGACCACUACCGUACCCCUUUCUUUGCCUCUUUAGUCCACCUCUUCAAUAUAUACUGAGUUGGUAAAGUUGUGAUAUUAUUUGUAUCAAACACCUUCAAAGCAUGACGACACAAGAUCCCAACAGACUUAAAUGACUUACAAGAACAAGAUAUGCUCAAGGAUGUAGAGUUGUAUUCAAUCUUGUGCACACUUUCACGACCAUCUUCAAUUGCUUCAUAUACAUAAACUUGAUCUUUACUGGAAACUUCUUUUAGUCUAACUCCCAUACAACUAUAGAAUUCUGUUUCAAAAAACUGAAAAAUUUUGUUAGUAUAAACCUUGGCAGCACUGCUUAACAUCUUAGUCCAUACUUUUGGACGACGUGCACCAUUUUUGCUACGGUAGUCAUCUUCUAACUCUGUUAAACGCAACUCUUCAAUCUUUUUCUUAUAGUGAUGAACAAAUUUAAUAAGCUCCAUUGUGUGUGUAGAAAUUCCUUGGAACACAUUGUUUGUACUUUCACUCCUUUGAGUAGAUCUAAUCCUUGCCGAAAAAGUGUCCAAAUUAAAUGCUGCACACCACUUCUGUCGGAGUGAAUACAACUUUGCUAGCCAAGGAUUAUUUCCGAGAUUAUAUCUACCAAUCAAGUUAUCCCAUAAAACCUGAAAUUCAAUUUCAGAACAGCACCCAUGUAAACAAUGGUUGAAUUGCUUCUUGAACUCUGGAUUUCCAAGAUAACUACCAAUUUUCUUUCGGCAUUCUUGCCAAUAUGCCAAGUGCACAAUCAAUGGGAUGCACCUGGAAACACUAUUUUAACUGCCUUUGCCAUUGCUUUAUCUUCAUUUGUGAAAAUAGUUUUUGGUGCUUUAUUUCCCAUCGACUCCAAAAAGGAUUCGAACAACCAAACAAAAGACUCUGUAGUCUCAUCUAAUAGAAAUGCACAUCCAAACACAACAUUUCUCCAAUGAUGAUUAACUCCAACUAUUGGAGCACAAAUCAGAUCAUACUUGUUUGUACGAAAUGUUGUAUCAAAGCAUAUAACAUCACCAAAACAAUCAUAAUCUGACUUUGCUCUACCAUCCCUCCAAAAGAAGUUUAUCAUUCAGCUAUAUUGGUCCAAUUGCAUUGAAUAGAAAAAGUUAGGGUCCUCACCUUGUUUGUGCUUAAAGUGAUUCAGCAAGCUUUGUGCAUCACCUGCUUCCACCAUUUCAUUCUUUUUUCUUUGCAAGUAGUUGUAGACGUCUUUCUUAGUGCACCCAACAUUUUCUGAACCACCCACUUCAUUUGCUAUGUAAAAAAAUGCUUUUGUUGCUCCUAUUCUUGCAACUUUCAUGGAAGUAAAAACUUGUCCACAAGCAUCUGUUACUUUUCGCCCAGAUCUCAAAAAUUGCCUUUCUUCAGGGUUUGCAAGCUCAUGGUUAUGAUCUGAAUUGAUAUGUGAUAUUGUCCAUAUCCCAUCUUUCACAAUAAACGAUAUCAUAGCCUUGCAACCGACUCUUGUUUCCAACUUCCUAUGUUUGGUUGGUUCAAACACAUCUUGGUCUUGUGCAAACCCUUCCUUUGAACAUACAAACUCUCGUAACCGGAUGUUAUUUGAUGCAUCUCUUCUAAUAUGUGACUUACGAACACUGAAACCCUUCCUCAAAGCAUAGGUAUUAUAUAAAUUGUAAGCCUCCUCAUCUGAGUGUACUUGAGUUCCCACUUUGAGUUCUUCAUCGUCUUCAAUUAUUUCCUCCAUUCUUUCACAAGCCAAUUUAACUCUGUAAAACACAAAAAAGUUUAAGCAAAUUUUUGGUCAAUUGCAUAGGACUUUCAAGUAUCAAUGAUCAUUAGUUAAUGAGAAAAUCUAUUAGAUUAGAAAAACCAAUCGUACAAACACCAAAUCACACAGUGAUUGAAUAAUCAAAAUCUAAAGGAUCAGUUUAAGUAUCAGUUUAUAUACAACCACUUUUAAGUAUUGGUUUAUAUACAACGUCUUCAUUACUCAUCAAUUCUUUGUGUCAAGUUCACACAGAGGAUCAUGACAAAUCCAAAACAAUCGAACCCAAAUACUCAUAAGAAAAGCAAAGAAAUACUAACCUGAAUCAAAUUGCUUAUCGAGAUGAUCUUGUAUUGAUUAAAUUGAGCAAUCAUGAGAACGAGCUAACAGGUCGAGAAAGACUGGUUUUGGUGAAUCUGAAAAUUGAUUAUCAGUAAUGAGGAGACCCUAAUCUGAAAAUUGAGUGAGAGGAACAAGAAGUCGUCCACUGUUUGUUCUUCCCCAGAUUAGAAAAACACCUAGAAAUCCUAAUUUAGCUAAAACUCGGCGGGAUAAUGAAAUUUCAACUUUAAACUUGGAGCCUUUUUCGUAGUUUGCUGGCGUGGAAAAAAAUCAAGACGUAGCACUUGUUGGUUGGCUGGUCGCACAUGCCAGCUGGUGCGGCUGUUGCACGGAAGAUUUUCUCUUGUUUGUAACGAUCGCCGAACAAUCGACAACACUAUUAUCUGAACAAGAAUUUAAACCAAAAACAAGAAUAAAUCAAAUCUAAAAACCCGUCAUAUGGGGUAUCUGUAGAAAAAAAAAAAAUUAAUGACAUACUUGUAAUAAAAACAGUUAUGACUUGUAAUCUUAGUCUAUAAAGUUGGACGCACCGACUUGUAAUUGACAUUUGUAGAAUGAUCAUAUUUAAACAAUUACACAUAAGCAUAUCAAACCAAUUCAAAGUGGACAUGAGAGAAAGAGCUUACCUGAGGAACCGGUAAUACAAUUAUUAGGUCGAUUAAAAAGUUUCCAUGGAGAUAAUUUAGAGCGAUUUUUUUUGGUUGGUCUACUAUUUCUCCUGGACCAACCAUUCUAGACCUAGGAACUUCAUAAGCCAGCCUAAACUGCCAUGCAUAAGCAAUAAAAAUUUAGAAAGGCUCAAACAGACAAGAAAAAGAAAAAAACAACAAUUUAUUUAAGAUACCAAUUGAAUAAUACAGAUUUAGAAUGACAUUUUUAAACAGAAUAUGUCAUGCACUUACUUGGAUAAGCAUGUGUAACAGAUAUAUAGUCUGUCACAGUCCGUAAAAACACCAGUAGUAUGGUUUUAUGCCAGUCCAUAAAUAUGCACUUCUGAUCCUGCAUUUUAAGAAUACAGAUACCCCUCUAUUAAAAAAAGAAUAGAACGGGAAACAAAUUUACAUACUAAAGCAAUUUUCGAACGGCUGUUAUUUUUUCUUUUUCUUUUUAAUAAGAAGAAGAAAUUUCUGCUUCAAGAAUAAUGCAGUCUCAAAAUUUAAUGCAAACAUAUUUUAAAGUGAUGACAUCAAGUGAGAGAAAAACAAAGAUAUAGAAAGAGAGAAAGAAAAAAUAGAUUGUUCCGCGCUCGCAGAGGCCGCCGGAAUGGUAGCUUCUAGCAGAGGCAACCGGAAUCAAUAGGAGGAUCGGAUACCGUUGUGGGUUUUCGGGUCAAGGAACAAGGCCGAUUAGUUUGAGUUUUUCUACACCUUGUGAUAUCUCGAUAUUUCUAUUUCAAAUAAGGAAGAUUGAGAGAGAAAAUCGAGGGUUCAAGGAGGAGAGCAGAGAGCAUAUUGGGGAAGAAGAAGAUGAGAUGAUGAGGAAGAUGGAGAUCACGCGCCGUGAAAAGAAACGUUUGUGAUCCCUCACUGGGUCAACUGAAGAACCUUCGGCCGAAUAGCUGUUUCUUCUUCAACACCCUAUUUCAAUCGAAUUUGGUCGGCGCCUUUGCAGAUUUACACUCUAACACAGUGGAUUUGAGUUUUUUUGGCACCAAAUUUUGUUAGCGCGUAUAGUACAUGCGCCGUUUAGGAAAGAAGAAGACGCAUCAGAAGAUACCGAUGCCGAAGCCUCACCCUGUGAAUGGAAGAAUCUCCGACGUGCAAGAGAGAGAAAACAAGAUAAAGAUAAAAUACCAUUUCUCUCUCUCUCGUCCCCACUCCCCCAAGUGUCCAAACCCCAACUCCCCAAGUGUCCAAAUUAAUCCCUAACUCCCCAAGUACCAACCAUAGCCAGGCCGGACCUGAGAUUUCAAGGUCUGAGAUGAGUUUUAAGAAUGGUGUCCUCUAAUGACCGGAAAGCUUCACCUUGAGCAGAGGAGUUUGAGGAGACCAGUAAUGAGGAAUAAAACUGGCAUAAUGGUUUAGAAGUUUGGGAGCAAAACCCAGUUUUUAGAGACGGAGGGGCCCACUAACUUAACAGUGAGGAGAGGAAAAAAGAAGAAGUUAAAAGAUAAACAAGUGGUUAACCCUUCUCUCCUCUUCUAAACCACAAAAAUCCAGUUUUUAUUAUCAUCGACAACCAUCACUGCUCAUCAUCAUCCCCGUUUCAAACUUCUCUCUCUCCCUUCUCUUCUCUUCUAAACCCAACCAUUUCCUCUGUUUUUCAUUUCAAAAAACCAAAACCCAAACAAUUAUAGCUUUAAGCUUUAGUUUCCAUGGCUAGCAGACUUUUCUAAUCCCUCCUGCUCAAGGCAGCUACCGGAUUUUGGUGCCCCCAGAUUUUUGGGGCCUGAGGCAGCCGCCUCGUCGGCCUCACCUCAGGUUCGGGCCCAAGGAAGAAAAUUUCGGUGAUUACGGAAAUUUUGACCCUCCAAAAUAUGGAAAUUUCGACGGAAAUUUCGGGGAAAUAUCGAUUGCAGUAAAAAAAUUGAGAAAAUUGACGGAAAUUUGAAGAAAAACAAGGAAAUUUUAAACCAAACUUUAAGAGAUGUUUGUUUUCUAUAUUAUGUACUAUAUUUGAAAUGAAAACCUUGAAUAAACAUCGAUCUAUAAGGAGUUGUAGUAAGUUAAGGUGAAAAAGUUAGUGCUGAACCGUUAAUAAUUCUUAGAAGUUUACUUUAAACAUUUUUUUUUUAUGGCUGGAAACCCAAAGGAGGCUAGGUCAUCACGCUUUAUAUACAUAUGAUAUAUUUCACAUGGAAUUACAUGAGUACUUUAAAACCACGUAGAAGACCUAUGAUGUACAAAAUUUUCAUUAUCUUUAUCGUCUCUCUGUGUAGAGCCUUCAGUAUAUUGUGAAGAAUAGUCAUUAAAUAAUACCUCACCUUUAUAGAUAUAUUAAAAAUGAAUUAAGAAGUGUAGGUAAAAAAUCUUUUUUAUGGAAGUGUAGGUAAAAAAAUUAGUUGGAGAUUAGACAUUUACCUAAUUUUUUACUUUUCAAAUUAAAAAAACCAAUAUAUAUUAUAAAGAUACUAUAAUAAACAAGUUAAAUGGUUAGUAGGGUUGGUUAAGUUGUUAAUCUUGUACCAACCCGACCCAGGCUCGACUCACCUUCGCAGCAAAAUUCAAAGUCAAACAUUUCGGCAGGAAAGUAAGUUUUGCAGUGUUCAAAGUCAGGGGAAACAAUCAUUCAAAUUUGGGCGGGAAAGUGGGAAACCAUUUCAGCUUCGACUUUUCGGUGGGAUUUCAAAGUUUCGGCGAUAUUUUCGAAAUAUCGCGAUAUAUCGGAAAAUAUCGAUUAUUUCGGACGAAAAAUUCUGAGAAUGAAAAUAUAUAUCACCGUGUGAUAAAAACGAAAUUUUCGGCGAUAUUUCGACGAAAAUUUCGAUUUUUUCUUCCUUGUUCGGGCCUGACCAUAGCACAAUCGUUGUCUGCUAUUGUUGGGUCGCCGAUAUAGUUUUCUUAUUGGAAACUAUGCACUUUAUGUUAAUGCCUAGAGAACCCUAUUCCUCCAAAAAAGAAGAAGCCGGUGUCUAACAAGAAGCUGAAGAAAGAGAGGCUGAAGCAAGGCGUCUCUGCUCCAGCAGGCGAGUAAAUAUGGAAGAAAGACCGCAACUCUGCAUGCAUGUUGAGCUCACAUAUGUUGAGAGUUUGUUCUUUCAUUUCCCUUAAUACUAGAUGGAAUUGGACUUAGUAAUUGGAACCCUGUAUUGAUCUAGCAACCAGGGAGUGAGAAUGUUGUUCCUAAGACAGUUUUUAUCUUCAAAUUUUCUUUCUUAAACAAGUAAUAAUCAGACCUCAGAACUUAGAAUGAGUUACUUUGCCAAAUAAAAUAAAAAAUAAAAAAACAUAACAGAAAGAAAGGGAAGAAAAAGAAAAAGAAUAAAAAGAAAUAUUCUGAACCAUCAAUACUUUGUCUCUGUUCCUCAUGUGCUAGAAUAAACGAAAACAUCUAACUGUUUGUGAAAGAAAAAGAAAAAAAAACAUGUAAACUAAGACUAAUGCAAAAAGAAGGAAAAUAUACCUCAUGUGAAUAUAGCAGAAAGAAAUGUAGUGGAUCUACAAAAACCGCGACCAUGCAAGAUACUACAAAAAACUUGUUUUAUCUUCAAACAACUUUGUUAUCAGGUUCACAAUCCCGAUAACAUAGGGAUGCAAAAAAAAACAUGUUCCUUUAAACAAACUCAACAAAUUCUUUUUGUAUGACAUAUUUGUCUAUCGCUAAAUAUGAAAUGAGUGAAAUGUCGAUGAGGAUGAUUGUGAAGUUGUUUGGAUUUAAAUGUAUAAUGAGGUACGGAUCGGAGAGAUGGGAGAAUGGGAAGUUCGAUAUAUGUAUUAGAUGAGUGAACUCAAUGAGGAUGAAGUUGUGAGAUUUAUGAUAUGGGAAGAUCGAUGCCUUAUAUAAAGAAGAGGACUAGAGGAGUGAUGUUGAUAUCACUGGAAUCAAUAUGUUUGGCCAUGUUUUUAAGAAAUGAUUGUUUUUAGUUAGGGACAGAAAAUUUUCAUGCCUAGUUGUGCAUGUAUUACCUAGAGACACAUUAUAUAUAUGAUGGUGUGCACGGUAAAAAGGCAUAUGAUAACGACUUCAAGGAAAGCAUUCAAAUUUUCUCAAAACUAAAGUAACACUUUAUUCUCCCAUAUUUCUAUCUUCAACUCUCUUUAAUCUUUCAUUCAAUUGGAAGAUUAACAUAAGAGAUGAACCAGUCUUGGUGGACCCAUAAUCACAUCCAAGCUUCACCGAAAUCAAAUCCUCUGUCUUCCUAAGCGAGGAUGGAUCAAGAACAUUAUAUGUAAGGGAUAAUUCAAAUUCAGCACUUUCUGGAAAGCAAUCUGAGAAAUCCCCAUGGGGCUUUUGUUGGGCUUUAUCCUAUUGUCUUUCUUCAAUCUUCAUCUAUUGUUCGUCUUUGUCUUAUACCCAUCUUCUUCCGUUCUCUGAUUCUGUGCAACUUUGAUCUUUAUCUUUGUCUUAAUCUCAUCCUGUAAUAAGUUUUUGACCCACUUUCCCUUUCGAUUUCUUUUUCUCUAUAAAUAUCUCUCUUGAGUCUCAUACACCCAAUCCCAAUUACAGUCAUUCAAUCUCGUCCUUCAUCGGCUCAUGUACAAACAAUGUUUUUUUUAGGAGCCACUCUACCCAGAACCAUCGGUGGUAUACUUUGGAAAAUAAAGUAUGUAAAUCAAUCUGCCACUUGCCCAUUGCAUCACCAAUAAUCGACACACCCAUUGAAAUCGAUUGAACCAGAUUGAAAUACUGAGAUGCAAGAGUGAAUUGAUUUUUCAGAGAAAAGAAAAUAUCAGAUCUAGAAGAAGAAGAAGAUUCGAAUGAAGUUAACAGAGCAAUUGACGUUAGUUCCUGCCAUUUGCUUGCUUGGAAAAAAAAUACAAACGUGUCAACACGAGUGGAUGGUCGUAUGAAUGACGUGGUGCGAGUGCCGCACCUAAGAGUAAGUCCACCCCAAACUCCAAAACUGUGACCCAGACCUUUAGCCAUCUCAAAUAAAGACUCAGACAAAAAAAAACCAAAUCCACCUAUAGAAAAAAAUGAUAACCCAAUCUUUAUUAGAUCAAGACCUGAGUUAGACUCAUAACCAGGCAGAAAAAUGAAGGCCCGGGCCUUCCCUCUCCAGCUCAGCCCACUUGCAUGGGUUUGCAUGACGUCAGCCAUGUUAGAAGACUUGGAGAGAUGAAAGAAGACGCGUCUUGAUGUGGGUGAAGAACACAGACCAAUUGUUGAUGAAAGAGGACGCGCGGGGAACUCAUUUUGUCGCCAUGCGGGGUUAGUGGAUGGGCCACAUGCACGUUCCAAACCUUCACACACCCAUUUAUGUGAAUCUGAUGGUAUAUAUUUAACAACCAAAUAUUUUUAUUACAGAAAUAAAUAGGAAUUAUAAGUUAUAGUUUUAUUUUUUUGGAAUUUUAAUUUCUUCAACAUCCCACAAAAAAAAAAUUGUGCAUUUUAGAUCCAAUUUUUCAUAUCCCUAGCAUUGCUAUUUAUUUAUAAAAUUUUCAUAAAUUUGUCAUAUUAAAUAAUUCCGUGGAAUAAAUAUUUUUAAUAAAUAUUAAACAGUCACUGUCACGUGGUGACCCAAAAACUAAAAUCAUGGGUGGAAACUACAGCUCAAAAUCACUGCCACGUGGCGACCUAGGUCUCGCCUAAGACCCAGACCUUCCCAACGAAGACCUAGAAGGUGGACUUGUUCUAAGAUGACACGGUGUGAGUGCCCCACGCAAGAAUUGCUCCCUGGACCGUGACCACGUGUUUUGGAUAGGGUAAUGCACUACAAAAAAUAUGCGUAAAAGCGACAGUUUUUUCCCCACAUUUUCAGUUUUCGUGGGAGUAUAGUACUGAAUAGUGUCAACGUUUGAAAUCUUUCGAACUCUCCCACGCAAGUCGCAACUUCGAAUUCGUGGAGUAUAAAACAAUAAAAAAUUGUUCUGUAUGGGUAUUUAAUUCUGACACUCUAUUUUUUUUUCCAGUUUAUAAUUCUAAAUUCAGUAAACACCACGCUUUUAACAAUUAGUGGGAAGUAAAUAAUAAAAUAUUAUGAUAGUGUGGAAUUAUGAUGUUGAAACGAUGUAAUUAUCAUGACAUUUUAGUUUCUUACCCGUUUUUAGUAAUUAAUUCAUUUGAAUGUCCCACAAAUAUGCACAAAACGUGAGAACUUAUCUGUACAAGUACAACUGUUGNNNNNNNNNNNNNNNNNNNNNNNNNNNNNNNNNNNNNNNNNNNNNNNNNNNNNNNNNNNNNNNNNNNNNNNNNNNNNNNNNNNNNNNNNNNNNNNNNNNNNNNNNNNNNNNNNNNNNNNNNNNNNNNNNNNNNNNNNNNNNNNNNNNNNNNNNNNNNNNNNNNNNNNNNNNNNNNNNNNNNNNNNNNNNNNNNNNNNNNNNNNNNNNNNNNNNNNNNNNNNNNNNNNNNNNNNNNNNNNNNNNNNNNNNNNNNNNNNNNNNNNNNNNNNNNNNNNNNNNNNNNNNNNNNNNNNNNNNNNNNAUCUAUAAACAAGAUAAACAAGAAAUGGAGUAAAAAUUUCAACAAAGAUUAAUUCCUGGUACACUUUCAUCUUUCUUAACAUCUUAUGGCAUUGAUAUUGACUGGAAUAGCUCACAAAUAAUUUGCAGAUUGCAACUCUAGUUAAAUCCAAUUUGUCAAUACUGCACUUUAAUGCAUCAGGACUCGAGCCUAGUUGUUAUAUAUACUUCUAUAGUAAAGCUAGUAUUAGUAUAUGUGAACAAAGUUCAAAUCUGUGCGUAAGAAUGAUCCUUUCUAAGUUUCUCAUCUGUAUUAUUUGAAUGUCUGCAGUUUGCGAUACCAUUUCCACCCUGUGACAGGUGGAUGCUGAAGUUUUUAGUAAUCCAGCAAUGAUUUUGAAGAUGAAAUUGACCAAUCUUCCAUGGAGACUAUAAAUCAUUCAGAAAGGGUCCCUAAAAUGUAAAAUUGUUUAGAAUUACAUAUGAAAGCUUGUAGUGCCUUUGAUUCCAUGACUGAAAUUUACAGGGUUAGCAUUUCUGGCUUACUAAAGCUUGUACUGGCUCCCACCAUAUAUGCCAAGAUGCUUAGAAGAUUUCUGCCAAUCUCUUUAUUUUGGCGUAUGUAAGGAUCAAAAACUGACAUGAUUGCAACCUAAGAGCUAUAAAAUUUGAUCAAAAUUUUCUCCAAUUCAGUCAUAUAUCAUGCUAGUCAAGUUCAUCAUGUUGUUUGGAAACAAUGUGACUUAUCAUGCGAAUUUCACGUCACUUAUCACACAGAAACGCUCUUACCAACCUCUCCGUAACCGAGUUUGGUUGAUUCUUUCAUACGUUAAACUCUCACACAGAUGAGACGUUACACAUAAAAAUUUGAAAACGUUUGAUUCCUGUUGAUACGGCUCCCCAUAAGGAAGAUUAAGGGUAAAAAAGGUUGACCGUUUUUAUCGGUACCCAAAAGUUACUCGAAAUAUGUGAUUUUUCAACCAUAGCCGUAUUUCACUAUUCCGAUCACAUCUUAUUUACGAGAUUUUUGCUUCCUUUGUACAGUUGGUUUACAAAAUUGUACACUUGCAUAUAACCUACUAAACAAGUUAUAUCACAUUAGUAGACACGUUGUGAUUUCGAUGACUAAAAUUCUCAAAAUGAAAAUUCCACAGUCUGAUAUGAUCAUUAUAGUAAACCAUGUCUAUGGUAUAAAAUUCAACUCUAUUCGGUAGCGUUCGGGGCUCGAUCGAAGCGGUCAACCAUAAUAUAUCGUCACUUAUCACACGGAAACGCUCUUACCUACCUCUCCACGACCUAAUUUGGUCAAUUCUUCCACACGUUAAACUCUCACAUAGAUGAAACGUAACCACACAUAAAAAUUUGGAGACGUUUAACUCUCGUUGAUAGGGCUCCCUAUAGGGAAGAUUAAGCGUAAAAAAGGUUAACUGCUUUUAUCGGCACCCAAACGUUAACCGAAAUAUGUGAUUUUUCAACCAUAGUAGCUAAACACUAUUUUGAUCACAUCUUAUUUCACGAGAAUUUUGAAAAUUUUACUUCCUUUAUGUAGUUGGUUUAAAAAGUUGUACACUUGCAUAUAACCUAUUAAAUAAGUUAUACUAUAUUAGUAGACACGUUGUGAUUCCGAUAACUUAAAAUCACAAAAUGAAAAUUCCACCGUCUGAUAUGAUCAUUAUAGUAAAUCAUGUCUAUGAUAUAAAAUUCAACUUGAUUCGGCAACGUUCGUGGCUCGAUCGAAGCGGUCAACCCUAAUAUAUCGUCACUUAUCACACGGAAACGCUCUUACCUACCUCUUUGUGACCUAGUUUGGUUGAUUCUUUCACACAUUAAACUCUCACAUAGAUGAGACGUAACCACAUAUGUAAAAAUUUGGAGACGUUUACCUCCCGAAAAUAGGGCUCCUUAUAGGGAAGAUUAAACGUAAAAAAUGUUACUGUUUUUAUCGGCACCCAAACGUUACCCGAAAUACGUGAUUUUUCAACCAUAGCUAUAUUUCACUAUUUUGAUCACAUCUUAUUUCACGAGAUUUUUGAAAAUUUUGCUUCUUUUGUGUAGUUGGUUUACAAAGUUGUACACUUGUAUAUAACCUAUUAAAUAAGUUAUACUAUAUUAGUAGACACGUUGUAAUUCCAAUGACUAAAAAUCAUAAAAUGAAAAUUCCACCGUCUGAUAUGAUCAUUAUAGUAAAACAUGUUUAUGAUAUAAAAUUCAACUUGAUUCAGCAACGUUCGGGGCUCGAUCGAAGCAGUCAACCCUAUUAUAUCGUCACUUAUCACACGAAAACACUCUUACCUACCUCUUUGUGACCUAGUUUGGUCGAUUACUCCACACGUUAAACUCUCACAUAGAUGAGACGUAACCACACAUAAAAAUUUGGAGACGUUUACCUCCCGAAGAUAGGGCUCCCAUAGGGAAGCAUAAACGUAAAAAGAGUUGACCGCUUAUAUUGGACUCGGACUUUACCCGAAAUACGUGAUUUUUCAACCAUUGCCGUAUUUGACCAUUCCGAUCACAUCCUAUUUCACGUGAUUUUUGAAAAUUUUGCUUGCACUGUAGAGUUGGUUUAUAAAGUUGUACACUUGUAUAUAACCUACCAAACAAGUUAUACCACAUUAGUAGGCACGUUGUAAUUCCGAUGACUAAAAAUUACAAAAUGAAAAUUCCACCGUCUGAUAUGAUCAUUAUAGUAAAACAUGUCUAUGAUAUAAAAUUCAACUCGAUUCGCAAUGUUCAGGGCUCGAUCGAAGCGGUCAAUAUCUUAUGACACUACUAGCAGCCUGAUCUUUAUUAGCAUUUUUCAUGGCCACGUUUUUCAUGGCCGAGCUCAUCUCACCCCUGUACUGUUCGUAAAGUUUCCUCCAGUUGUUCAAGCAGUGUUUGGGGACUUGAUUAAUGUCAAAAAUAGGAAGUUUCUUGAUUUCUGAACAAGGAUACAGAGGAAAAUCAGUAUGUUAAAAGUUGAAAUAAAUCAUUUUUUAUCUAAAGUUAUAAUUUGAUGGAAAUUUCAUAACUUUGAAAUACUAAAAGGAUUUGACAUGGGAACAUCACAGAAAGCUAUCAUAACCUUUGACAGAAAUUGGUUCAUGAUCAACAUUAAACAUUAUCUACCAUCAAAUUUUAAAAGAUUUUGGUUGAUUUAUAACAAUCCAUAGAUUCUGCUAAUUCUAUGGAUUGUUUUAAUUCCAUAUGGAGUUUAACAAAUUUUAAUAGAUUGAUUUAUUAGUAUUCUUUUAGACUUUUAUAAGUCCACAGAUUGUUGUAACGGCAAUAAAUAAAAAAAAGUUUCUUAAAACACAAACAAUACAGUAAAAACGAUGAUGACUUGAAACAUAAUGCUCUGAUACAAUAGUAUAUAGGUUACUAGUAUCACAUCAUACAGAGAACUGUAUCAAAUCCAAUCUCUCUGUUUGUGAUCAACUCCCCUAUAAUUGAAUAUUCAAGGAACAAUUUUCCCAACAUAAGCACUCAGAAAAAUAGAUUUUCAUCACCAUCUAAAAGCUAUCUAGCAUUAUUAACCAGAUGCAGACCCAUAAUUCUUCCCACACACAAUUAGCUGCAACUCGUCACAACCAGAAAUUAAAGAAUACCAACACCAGCAAUGGCAUGGAGGACGUUUGCAUCAACACCCUUGAACAAGGACUUAGCACCCACAUUCUUCAAGAUCUGAGUGAAGGCUUCAAAACUCUUGUACUCGACAGCUUCACCAGAGGUCAUUAUCUACGAACAGUGUCAAUUGGGUAGGAAGAUAGACCAGCACCAUUUCUGAUGACCUAGGAGAAGUACUACAAGUCAAAAACAAAAGGAUGAUUAUCAAAAACAAAAUGAUGUCAGCUGGAAUACCUACAAGCCAUAAGAAUCUAGUCGUGGACAAAUAAAGUAAAUAUAAAUACAGCUUCCGCCAACACACUGAAGUUGCAUAUCCUUGGAAUCAAACCACCAAUAUAGGAUAAAUAGAAUUUGCAAGCACAUAAAAGUACAAAGAAUACCAAUCAAAUUACUACAGGCCUUAUGAUAUAAGUGUCACUACAACGCUUAAUAAGAGUUCAAAAAUGAAUGAUCCACUGAUCCAUGAGUGACCACACUAACACUUGAGUAAUACAGGACCUCAAUACUUUCCUACUAAAAUAACCAUUUUAAACAGUAGUAUAAGGGUAUUCAGAAUUUCAGAUAUGAUACAUGAGUAGCAUAUAUUAAGAUCGCAAAUUGAAGAAAACAUAUAUAUCUCUCGUAGUUAGAAGAGAUGGGACAACAGUUGGAUAAUGACAUAACUAAUCUUUGGUUUUCAAAGUUUAUCUGCCCAUCCAUUCAAAACAAACGAAUCAUUAUUAGCCGCUAAACAAAUCACAGAGUCAUUCCUUUUACCCUCAAAGUUAUCAAUGUUGUUCUUGUAACUAGGCACGUGUUGCUACAAACAAUUCCCCUUAUACACACCCUGACCUACAGACAUAUAUACCAAUAUCCAACACUCAAACAAUUCCCCUUAUACACCCUGACCUACAGGUUUGUCUUUCUCAAGUUCAGACUAUCUUAGCAUACUGGAAAUCAUAUGCCAUCAUUCUGAGAGAAAUUUGUACAGCCUCCUCAAUCUCAAGCUAACUAGCUCUUAUAAUCAAUGCACUCAGUUAUGCGCCCUACGUACUUCUCUCUCUUUUUCCUCUACAAAACUUGAUGCUUUGGCCGUCAACCAUGAAACUGUUUCCAGGAAAGAUAAUGUACUGCAAUCAUCUACUUGUUCGUGCAAACCAUUGAGUUCAGACUUCAGAUACACCAUGUGUAAUGUGGAUUUUUGUGAUAGAGAUAUUUCCCUAAAUUAUUUAUUCUAUUAGUCAAAACCUUGUUAAAAACAUAAACUAGCAGCUUUUAAUGUCUUCCUGUAGACAUCAACCUUAGGUUUCAAAUUCUAGCUUGAUUCGAUUAGUUACACAAUCAACCUAAGCAAGUGUUCGACAUAAUGAUUCUGAAACAAAUGCGACGUACAAUACCAGCACGAACCCCAACAAGAAAUAUGAGAUUAAGAUUCAAAUACGAACAGAAAAGAGAAACAAAGAGCAUGAUUGAUACCUUUCGAGUGAAAUAUGGAUCAUUGGCGAGAACGAUGGUCUCGAAACUGAGUCGUUUGAAUCGUUCGCAGCGGUUGAUUCCUUCGUUUUCAACGGAGGCACCGCCGCCGCUGUAGAUCUUUGACUCGGAAGAACAUCACUCAGAGCCUCAUCGAGCUUUCGACUUGAAGAACAACCUACCGAGGAGAGAACCCAGUGAGCUCUCCUCAGACUCCAUCAAAAUCUCGUGGGAGAGGCCAGAUUUCUUAAUGGAAUUUGUAUUUAUACCUAGCCCUCUAAAAUCCAUCAAAAUCUAACAACUGAUGGAAUCCUUGAGAAUCUAUAGAGUUUUGAAUACCCUCGUAUUUUGAUGGAUAUUUUAAAAUCUGAAUCGAAUACAUCAAGAUUUAUAAGGAGUUUUUAAAAUUUGAUUGAAUACCCAUAGAUUUUCAGAAUCCAAAAAAAUCCAACAGACUCCCAAUUGAAUACACCCCCCUAUGUAGUUCAAGUCUCACCUUGGAACCUCUCACAGAAUUGUCUAUAAGCAUCAGAAGGAGCAGACAGGAUUUCAUCGGGAGAAGGGGAGGAACAAAGUGAUUGUCCAUUGCACAAUGUCGCCGGCAAUGGAUUGGAAGUCUCACCUGCACCACACAAACACACAAAACUCACUAAUUUGCUUAAAUUUCAUCAUAAAUUUCGGCUAAUCACUAAAAGCAUCAACUAGAUUAUAAGUCUAACCCUGAGACUGAAAACUUAAAUAAAAUGGUGCAUCAGUAACUACGACCUUUACCAUCAGACUUGCUUUGACAAGAAUAAGUGUGUGCCACUUUCACUGGAGAAUAAGGUGAUUGUGUAUUGUUGUUGUUUCUGGGUUGCUCUAGAACAGUAAAUGCCUCACCUGCACCAAAAGCUUUAUUAUAGUCAUAUAACAGCAUUGACCACCAACAAAAUGAAUCAACUUGAGAGAGUGAAAGUAGUGACAAACCUUGAAACCCAUCAUCAAGUUGGCCAGGACCAGACAGUCUUUGAGAAGAAGUGCGUGCAAGUUUCAUCGGAGAACCCGAUGAAUAAGGUGAUUGACCUCUAACAGGUGGCAGGUGAUUAAAUGCCUCACCUGCACCGAAAAUCUAGUCAUAUAACAGUGAUGACAACAAGUCCAGUAGUCCACAACCAAAUGAAUCAACUUGAGAAAGCAAAAUAUGACAAACCUUGUGACUUCUCAUGAACUUGUGCAUGAGUAGACAAUCUUUGAUAAGAACAACUCCCUGUUGCUUUCGAUGGAGAACCAUAGCAGUAAGGUAACCUGUCACUAACUGCCUCACCUGCACCAAAAUCCUUAACACUAUCACACACAAAACACUCAUAUGACCACAAUGCAAUGCAUCAAAAUAGAGAACGCAAGAAGCACAACAAACCUCGAGACCUCUCAUCAACUUGUACAUGAGCAAUAAAGCUUCCAUCACAGCUUCCGGGUUGCUCCACAACACCAUACACCUCACCUGCACCAAAACCCACAGAUCCAGUUUCCCUCACUAUAUCAAACCCACAGUAAAGAACACUGGAGACCAUCAUAUAUACCCCAACCCUGAACAUGAAGUGAUGAAAACUAUACCGAACCGGGAUCGAUCCAUGAACAUAAAUCAAUCAGAACUAACAAACCCUAAACAUUGGUAAGGCUGACGAGAUUAAUAAAUGGUAAACGGCGUGUUGUGUAAGCUUCGGCAAUGUAGACUGUAGAGUGGAGUUAAUUGAUUGAUAGGUUCAUAACUCUGAAGCAUGCAACGCCAUUUGUUUUUGGUCUUUUCCUAUCAAAAAUCCUACACUUCUAGUCCAAUUAUUCUUUAAUCCUGCACAUAAUCUGAUGCUAAUUUACCAAAACUAAAGAUCCUGAGCUCAAAUCAAGAACAAAAUCAACACUAGAACUCGACUCGACCCGAGAAUCGAAAUGGUACCUUGCUGAUUGGUCCCUGAAGGAGAGAGUGACGCUCUCCGAAGCUUCUCCGCUGGGCUUGUUCACCUAGAUCCACGAGACUUCAUCGGAAACCUCGGCAUCCGGAUCUGCGGCGCCGCCGAUCUUCGUGACCAGCCGGACCUUUCGCGAUGUGCUGGAGCGGCGUUUAGGGGUUUUGGUGAGGUCGGGGUUGCCGGAAGCCAUGUGAAAAAUUAGGUCUGGGAGAAAUUAGGGUUUCAAAUUCGAGAUCUGAAAGCUUCGAAAUUGAGAGAGAUGAGAGCAAAGGCCAGUUGGGAAUUGAAAUUGGGGGAAAUUGAAAUUUAGAGAGAACUAAAGCGGGGAGUGGGCGGAAGCAAAGAUGAAUAGGAUAGUCACCCACGCACGACGCGCCUCGCUAGGCGUGCUUACAAUUGACAGUUAAAACGAGUUAAUUACCUUUUCAUUUCCGUCAGAAAACAAACGCGGAGCACAGACGCUCCGGAGCAUUCCAGACGUCUCCUCUCCUUCUAUCUUCUCCUCCCUUCUUUCUUUGUCUGUAACUCAUCAAAGCUUCAUUGUUCAUUCUUCCUUCAUAAACGUUUUUAGCUGAAAAACGUAUCUGUGGUGAACUCGAAAACGAAUCUCUCUUAGCCGGUGUACAGAAAUAAAGAAGUCUUUCACACUACCAGAAAUGUGGGCAACAAACACCAUCAUAAUGAUGUGCAUUGAACCAAUGGAAACUAAUCAGUGGUGUGGAUUCAUGAUAGCCACGGCCCUAGCCACUAUUAUGAGAUUAGUUUGCAUUGCUGGCGUGGCUUUUCCUAACAAUACACUAUCAUCUUUUUGGUGACUACAUAUAUACUCACUAAUUCAAUCUUUGGUGACUUCAUUGAAUUAAUAAAUAAAAAAAUAUUCAGCUAUAAAACUCUAUGGGUCCUACAUAUUCAGCAAAAGCAUCUUCAAAACCAGCUUCUUUAAAUUCAAAACCGCGAUCUCUAUCUCGUCUCUAGUAUCUCCUGCAAAGCAACAACAUGGGCAAAGAUUACUUGGCUAUAAAUCACCCCUCAUAAUUUUAUUUCCUUCAUAUAACAGAUGAUAUGUAUCUUGUGGAAAUAAAAUCAAUGUAUCCAGUGGAAAUAAAAUUAACUUGAAGCUCAUAAACUAUCAACAUGUUCAUAACCCGUGACUUUGUAAAAAUAUAAACUUAAAGCUCAUAAACUAUCAACAUGUUCAUAACCCCUGACUUCAUACCUAUAUCAACUUGAUGAACAAGUUCAUAUAAAAGCUCCCUACAUGUUAUGUAUCACAUACCUUAGUUCUUAAUACAAGAUAAUCCUCUCCUCUCUCUUUUUCCAUCACUAAAAUGCAAGUAUAGUGUACAAAGUCCACAUCUUUUCCUGCAAGCAGAAAAACACACUUUGGGUAAGUUGGCCAGAAAACAUACAAUAAAUUUCUUUUGGGUAAGAACCUUAGAAGAAACAAUUAUCAUUCACAUUUAUUAUAGUAAAACCUGGUUCAAGUUCAUAAAUUAAGCAUCUAUCGGCAUAGUUGACACAUAGAAGGUAAAAUCUGAAGCUAGAAAUGAGGUUAUAGUGAACAAUAAUGUAUUAUGAAUUAAGUUCCCAAGGAAUGGUAGUAUCAUAUAUAGUAAUGGUAGUAUCAGCCCACUUUUAUGGAUGAUGCAUAUUCAAUUACUGAUUCACAUUUACAAAAGAAUAUAAGCGUACCUUAUUGAGUGAACGACAUUUUUUUGUCUCCUCAUUCAUACGGUCUUGCAGCUUUCUGUUUCAGAAUGAACACCCUACAAAAAAAACUGCAUAUGACCAGUCAGUUAAGAAUCUUAAGAAGUUCAAAUAGAUUGAUAUGAAUCAAGGACAAUUGUAUACAAAUUAAGAACUGAUAAGGAGGGAAGAUAAAUAUGUAGGUGAAGUUUACCUCCUUCAACACCAGGGCAUCUAACUAUUCUUUUGUCAUGGUAAGACUUGACUAUAGGAGGCGCUUCCUAUAACACAGACAACAUACUAGCCUCAAUACACAAUAAUGGAAGCCCUAAACAUUAUUUGUACAUGUUCUAAACCAUGUAAACAUGCUUCAACUUUACCAGUUGAAAUUGACACAUAAGAGGUGCACAAUACGCAUAUUUUUUUGUCUAUUCAUUCGAUAGAAAGCAAUUAACCAUGUAACCACAAAAUUCAUAUGGUAAGAUCGAGGAGUCUGACAACUAUUAUCUCUUUUUUCAUUCAUUCACUCGAAGAUCAAAAUAUAAAUAAAAAACACCUUCCCCUCGAUAGUUAUUAGAAAUCUGCAAUUAGGAAUCAAAAGACUCUUGUUUAAGGUCUAAAAGUAUGAAUGUAAAAGCCCACUUCUACGACAACAAAUGCCAAAGUCAUCUCAUAUAAUUUAUGAAUAAUGAAGCAAGAACAUGAAACAAAAAAAUUAAAUCUUCAGAGUACCUUAGUACCAAAAGGAUUAAUUGGAUUAUUAAUCUCAAGAAUUUCCUCCCCUAAAAAUUAAGUCUUCGGAGUACCUUAGUACCAAAAGCAGAUAUAAACUAACAAUAAUAUGAAGUUUGACUAUCAUAUUCAUCUCAUCACCCAAAAACAGUGAUGUAAGCUACUUAAUAUAACAGACCAUAAAAGCUGGAAGAAGCUAGUUAUGCAGUAAUUCUCUAUUUGGUGUAAAGAAUAUAAAACUCCAAAGAAACUGCAUUUGAUUGAAGAGUUCAUAAAAUUGAUUUCCCAUCAAGAAUAUACAGUCACAUUUAAGAUUGAUACAAAAGACAUAUCUACAAGUUAAAUGUGCAGACAUACUGACAAUUAAACAUUAGUGUCUACAUGAACUCCUUUUUUUCUUAUUGAUACAUGAACUCCUUUUAUACCACAUCAAACUAAUAAUAAUCAAGUUAUUAGUAGAGUCCUUACUUAAACCUCAUGAACAUUACAAAGUAUUGAAAGCGAAUAAACAUCUCAGAGAACAGAACUCACCAGGUAAACAACUUCUAUUAAAUAAUUCUCGACAUUGUCAUUUCUGAAACAACAGUAUCAAGAAUAAGCACCCAAAUUAACUAUUAUAUAGUCAGCAGUUAUAAAAUUUCAUCAAAAAAGAAUUUUCAUCAGUUAAAUUAUAUCACCUUCCACAGUUCCACCUUUCAUUAUCCUAAAGAUCAUGAAAAUGUCCAUUCCUUUUCUGUUCUUUUGACCAGUGUGAUAAGCUUCAUUCCAACCCUAAAAAAUUAACCCCAAAGUUCAAGUUUUGCGGUGGAGAAAGAAUGCAUGCAAGAGCCUCUAAAACCAAAAUAAAGAAUUAUGAUGCACAAGAAAAGAAAAGCACAACAUACCAAAGCAAUUAAAUAUAACAACUUCAUUACAAAUGUAAAAACGAAGCAGAUAGGGAGAUACACUGACUUGUUCCUCUUUCCAUUCAUCGGGUCGGAGCACCAGUUAAUCUUUCACAGCCCAUGGUGAUCUGCAAAAUUUUCAAUCGAUCAAUCUUCAUACUAUGCUGAAAGAUGAUAUCGGAAACCAAUCAAUGAAGCGAGAUUGGGAUUUAAGAUUUUCAUUACUUGCAGCGCCGACGAAGACACGGAGUUGGAUUAGAUCGGCGUAUGGCCGAAACAGACAGAGUAAUUUAGAGGCUUGUCGAGCUGCGGUAGCUGAGAGAGAGAGAGAGAGAGAGAGAGAGAGAGAGAGAGAGAGAGAGAGAGAGAGAGNNNNNNNNNNNNNNNNNNNNGGAGAGGAACUUCGUUAUGCACCAUAAGAAAAAAGAGAUAAACUCAUAAAAGUAUAAUUUUAUAACUUUAAACAAUAUUGGUGACGGUCAAACAGUUGUGGUUUUUGCUAAUAGUGACACCGUUAUAAGGAUUGGGGAGAAAUCCUAUGGGUUAUGUCACCAUUAGACUAAUAGUGCAUAGAAAAUAGUAUCUGAUGCCCACAUUUGUGGUAGUGUCAUCUGCAGUCAUAGUCUCAAGAAUGACAAAUCGUCAUCAUCUGAAGUAUUGAGGCAUGUCAGAGAUUUCCAAUCUUCCUUCAAAAGGUUAGAUUUUUCCUUCCAUGACCCAUGUAAUAUCAGGAUUUAAGUGGGUAUAACAUGACUGAGAAAUUUGAAAAUAGGAAUUUAUUGGUUAUGAUUUCUUCAUGAUUUUCUGCUAACAUAAAUUCUCAAUUUUUUUUUCAUAUAUUAUUUCUUAGGAAAUUGAAUUCUGGUGAAGUUAAUCAAUGUGUUUGCAUAUAGGCGUCAACAGAUCGAGCUUGGCUGAGUAGUUGCCUCCUCCACAUGUAUAUGUGUUGGCUUUAAACUCAGUCUUCUACUAUAUGUGAUGUUUUGUUUCGUUAAGUGUUUAUUUUGUGAUCUUGUUUCGUCAAGUGCUGAUGUUUCUUAAUAUCUUUUAUUAAACAGCGACAAGCGUGGCUCGUGGAUCACAUUGUACCGAUACUGUCCCAACUUAACCACCUUUAAGGUGUUGGGUUUUAAUCACAAAAGGCCUCGGUACAAUUGGAUAAGAUCCAUCCACAUAUAAGUUAUAUUUUAUUUGUCACUUUUCUGAUGUGGGAUUUAUUCCUCUCUAAUACUUCUAAUACGCCCCCUCACGUGCAACCUGACUUAAGGUCCGCACGUGGAAUGAAUCGGGACGGAACGAACCAAGGGACACUUAGUGACAAUCCAAUCGGAAUAUUCCGAUGGUGAGACAAGAAGCCGGAACCGGGCGAGAAAAUAGAAUCCCGGACCGGACGAGAGAAUGAACCCAAAUCGGGCCCAUGAGAAUUGGAGAAGUAAUUGGAGAGGGACCCGCUCUGAUACCAUGUUAAACAGCGACAAGCGUGGCCUAUGGAUCACAUUGUACCGAUACUGUCCCAACUUAACCACCUUUAAGGUGUUGGGUUUUAAUCACAAAAGGCCUCGGUACAAUUGGAUAAGAUCCAUCCACAUAUAAGUUAUAUUUUAUUUGUCACUUUUCUGAUGUGGGAUCUAUUCUUCUCUAAUACUUCUAAUAUUUUUGUCUACUUUUCAGGUAUGUGUUCUUGCAAAAUUUAUUAGCCUUAGCUGAAGUUGUUGUUGAGCUUGACUUACAGAAUGAGGUUGGGGAAAUACAAAGAUUAGCCUUUUCGACUUUGCAAAGGAUGGAUCAGGCCAUCAGGGGACGAGCAUCAUUAGUUAGUUUCAACUUUCAACAAUAGUUUUUUAGAUUAGCUCCAUGUAAAUAGAUUAGCUCCAUUUCCCUCCUGGCCUCCUGGGAAAUUUUGAUUAGUUGUGCUUUGUUGUGGAUUUCCUGCAAAUCAGUUAAUGAAUAUAAUCAUUUAGAGAAACUCCGUAUUUCUAUGAAUAAUUGGACGUAUUUCUAUAAAUAAUCGGGUAUUUCUCUAAAUAAAUACAAACCAAUUUGAAUAAGAGCCGUCAGAUAUAUGGUGGGCCCAGAUAAUUCACAUUUAUAACAGCUGUUGAAUUUUACACAUUUUUUUUACAAUCCACACACCUCUAUCUCACUUUUUAUAAGAAAAUGUCUAAAAUGACUCUAUUUUAGACAACUAGAAAAAUUAAAACAUGGAUAGUUUAGACAUUUUCUUAUAAAAAGUAGGGUUUAGGUGUGUAAAUUUCACUCCCCUUAUAUUGACCCUUAAAAUGGUAAUAUAAAAUGGGUCCCAACUUUGAUAGCACCCACGAAUGUUUCGUAUACGUGAGAUUUUUAAGCUAUCGCCAUGGCAUUAGUCCGCAAAUCGUGACCAAGCCCAAUGCACACGAUUAUUCGUAGGUAAAAAGGCAACUCCCACGAAACAAAUUCCUAGCUAUACCCAGUUUUUUUUUUUUUUUUUUAGUGAUGGCUGAUUAAGUUGGAUAAGAGCUAGAUGUAUUGGUUCCACUUCCACCUCCAUGUAAACACAAAACUAUUGUAAUUUACCACACAAUAACUAAUUAGCAAAGACUAGUAGAAUACGUAUAUGUACUAAUGUACACCAAGGACUGACACCAAACUAACAAUUCAGGUGGCCCAUAUAUAACCGAGUUCGUUUUAUAAUUCGAGUUCUUACAUCUUUUUAAUAGAUUGAGCUGAUCAAGCAAAAAUUCGAAUCAAACAAAUGAAGUAAACGGAUCAAUGAACACAGGUUAUUCAAUAUGCAUGAUUGUGAUGUUACUGAAAUUAAUGGACAAUCAAUUUCAGUAUAAAGCUUAAGGUUAGCUGAGCAUGUCGUCUUAAUUAACUGCAGUACGUAUAGAUGAUCUGUUCUCAUUCAGUGUGCUGAUGUUCAUCUUCAGAAUGGAAAUCUGAAGUUGUGAAGAUGUAGUUUUUGAGAGCCCCGAGAAUGAUCCAUGCACAAUAGCACGAAAGACGAAAACUGAAGUGGAAGUAGAAUUUUUCUGUAAACUUUGUACCUACAAAAUUAAGUUUAAUAAUUUUCAGAUUCUUAUGCAGAGGUUUGGGUACGCAUGAAUCAAGAGAUCAGUGAAAGCAUAUUCUCAUCAUAAUUAACAUCAUACUUUCUGCAAUUUGUUCUCAAAUUGGAUUACCUAUAUAUAAAUUCUAGGCCAUAUAGAAAAUUAGAAAUAUAAGGUUGUUCAGCUUCCAUUCCGUGGAUGGAAAAUUCUAGUAUACCAUAUGGUAUAACAUACCUCACAAAAUAUGUGGCUAUCAUUGAUUGAAAAAACAACUAAAUGACCAUGUAAUGACUAUUUACCCCUUCAAAAGCCCACAUAGGCAUGUCAUACCAUAUGGUAUGAUAAACAAACCCUCCGUGGAUAUAUUUGUUAAAGAUCCUUGAAUCAUUUCCCCCAAAAAAGAAAAAGAAAAAAAAAGGAGAUCCUUGAAUCAGAGGUUAUAUAGGCUUUGAUGAAUGUCGUAUAUUGCUCGUCAUUUUCUUGAUGCAUCUAAUUAAGUACGUAGUUGGAGAAAACAAGAUGCCAGUGAAUCUAAUACCAAGAUUUCUUGCAGGGCUGCUUAAUAUCAAGUUAUCAACUAUUGUGAGUUACUAAAAUGAUUGAGUUCGUAUGUGGGUGAAGAUUUCACAUGGAAAUUUUGAUACAGAGAUAUGUAAUUAUGCAAACAGAUCCGUUCAUAUAUUCCUUUCCAUCGACAAACAAGUUACAUCAACACAGGCACACUUGAAAGAAAUCCCAUUUACAACAGUUGCGCACACAUGAUUAAAUCGAUCACUUCACUCCAAAACUUUCAAACCUCACUUUCCGGGAACAAAGUUUGUGGCAUAUGACCAAGCGUUGUUGUUAACAGGGUCAGCCAAGUGAUCAGCUAGGUUCUCAAUCGGUCCCUUUCCGGUAACAAUAGCUUGCACGAAGAAUCCGAACAUGGAAAACAUAGCCAGUCUUCCGUUCUUGAGCUCCUUCACCUUAAGCUCAGCAAAAGCCUCAGGAUCGUCUGCAAGCCCUAAAGGGUCAAAGCUCCCACCGGGGUACAACGGGUCUACUACCUCACCGAGAGGACCUCCUGCAAUUCUGUAGCCUUCAACAGCACCCAUCAAGAUCACUUGUGUUGCCCAGAUUGCCAAAAUGCUUUGAGCGUGGACCAAGCUAGGGUUUCCCAAGUAGUCUAGUCCACCCUCACUGAAGAUUUGAGCUCCAGCCUUGAACCAAACAGCUUCGCCGAACUUGACUCCAUUACGAGCCAAGAGUUCAGGGAAAACACAGCCAAGGGCACCUAGCAUGGCCCAUCUGGAAUGGAUGACUUCGAGCUCACGGUUCUUGGCAAAGGUCUCAGGAUCAGCUGAGAGCCCAGCUGUGUCCCAGCCGUAGUCACCGGGAAACUCUCCGGUGAGGUAAGACGGGGCUUCGCCGGAGAAUGGUCCCAAGUACUUGACACGGUCAGGACCGUACCACGGGCUGACGGAUGACACAUUCUUUGACUUGGCUGCGGUUUUGCGCAUGGUAACUCGGCCCUCACCGAGGAGGUUAGAUGUGGAGGAACCAAGCUUCACAGCUUGGCCAGCUAGAGAAGGGGAGGAGAGAGCCAUUGUUGAAGAAGCCAUUUGAGGAAAGUGUUGAGAGUUCUCAGCUUAGACAAUGUGGGGUGGUGAGGGCCGAGGGUUUGUGUUUUGAGUAGAGCCGUUGGUGGCUAUUUGUAUAGGGUUUUGUGUGGGGGUUCUUUAUCUUUUUGAUAUCUUCAUCUCUAUUCUUAUUGGGUGAUAGUGAAGUUUGAAGAUUUUUCCCUUCAACGGAUCUCUGCAUUUCCAGUUGGCCUCGUAUGCUCCACUACUAAGUUCAGUUAGUUCCAAAAAUAGAAAGACAUGCAGAGACAAAAAUGGAAAUCUGUUGUGGAUGUACUCUAUCGAAAAUAAAAUCUGUUGUGGAUACUCUGUGCUUUGAUUUCCAGCUAAUAGACGGUGACCACGUCAGCUUUGGAUCAGGGUAAUGGCUGAUUAAGAUUCUUGGAUAAGAGCUAGAUGUAUUAGUUCCACCUCCAUGUAAUGUACGUAUAUGUACACAAAGAAGUUAAUUAACUAGCAAAGAAUAGUAGAAUACGUAUAUGUACAUAAAGGACUAAUACCAAACUAACAUGCAACUCAGGUGAUCCCAUAUUAAUUAUAACGAGUUCGUUUUAUAAUUCGAGUCGUUACAUCUGUUUGAAAGACUAAGUUUAUCAUGUAAUAAUUUGAAUCAAACAAAUGAAGUAAACGGAUCAAUGAACACUGGUUAUUAAUGCAUGAUUGUGAUGUAUAUAUGUUACUGAAAUGGACAAGCAGUGUUUCUGUAUAAGCUUAAGUUUUCGCCAGAUCAAUUGAAGGAGGCCGAGCAUGUCGCCUAAAUUAACUGCAGUACAUAGACGAUCUGUUCCCAUUCAGUGUGAUGAUGUUCAUCUUCAGAAUGGAAAUCUGAAGUUGUGAAGCAAAAUGUAGUUUAUGAGAGCCCCAAGAAUGAUCCAAUGCACGAUGGCCUCCUGAAAGUCGAAAACUGAAGUAGAAGUAGAAAUUUUCUGUUAACUUUAUACCUACAAGUUUAAUAAUUUCAUGGACGCAUGAAUCAAGAGAUCAGUGAAAGAACAUUGUCAUCAUACUUUCUGCAAGCUAUCCUCAAAUUGGAUUACCUAUACAUGAAUUCAAGGCAUCAGCCAAAAGCCCAAAAGUAGUAUUGCAUAUAGGUUGUCCAGCUUCCAUGUUUGUCAUAAGGAUCCUCAAAUCAGCAUUAGUGGCUUUGAUUGAAUUUCAUAUAUCGCUUGUCAAUUUGUUGAUGCAUCUAAUUAAGUCGGAGAAAUUAUACAAGAUGUGUCAGAUAUUUCCAUGAUUUCUGGCAAUGCUGCUUAGAGCUGAUUCAUUAACUUGUGAGUUAAUAAAAGAUGAUUGAGCUUGUAUAGUUGUAUAUAUGGGUGAAGAUUUUACAUAAAAUUUUUAGUACAGAGCAAUUUAAGCAAACAGAUCUGUUGAUAUAUUCCUUUCCAUCGACAAACAAGUUACAUCAACAGAAACACACUUGAAAGAAAUCCCAUUUACAACAGUUGCAAACACAGAUGAUUCGAUCGAUCACUUCUCUCCCAAGCUUUCAAACCUCACUUUCCGGGAACAAAGUUGGUGGCAUAGGACCAAGCGUUGUUGUUAACAGGGUCAGCCAAGUGGUCAGCUAGGUUCUCAAUCGGUCCCUUUCCGGUAACAAUAGCUUGUACGAAGAAUCCGAACAUGGAAAACAUGGCCAGUCUUCCGUUCUUGAGCUCCUUCACCUUAAGCUCAGCAAAAGCCUCAGGAUCGUCUGCAAGCCCCAAGGGGUCAAAGCUCCCACCGGGGUACAACGGGUCUACUACCUCACCGAGAGGCCCUCCGGCAAUUCUGUAGCCUUCAACUGCACCCAUCAAGAUCACUUGUGUUGCCCAGAUUGCCAAAAUGCUCUGAGCAUGAACUAAGCUUGGGUUUCCCAAGUAGUCUAGUCCACCCUCACUGAAGAUCUGAGCUCCUGCCUUGAACCAAACAGCUUCUCCGAACUUGACUCCAUUACGAGCUAGGAGUUCAGGGAAGACACAUCCUAGAGCACCGAGCAUGGCCCAUCUUGAAUGGAUGACCUCGAGCUCACGGUUCUUAGCAAAGGUCUCGGGAUCAGCUGAGAGCCCAGCUGUGUCCCAGCCAUAGUCACCGGGAAACUCUCCGGUGAGGUAAGAUGGAGCCUCCCCGGAGAAUGGCCCCAAGUACUUGACACGGUCUGGGCCAUACCAAGGGCUGCCAGACGACACAGCCUUGGACUUGGCUCCAGUUUUGCGCAUGGUGAUUCUGCCCUCACCGAAGAUGUUAGAUGCAGCUGGGCUAAGCUGCACAGCUUGGCCAG
rnacentral:lncRNA from 1 species